GGGAGCUGCUGUUGCCGCGGUGGGAAGACGCAGAGCUUUCAGGCCAGCCCCGCGCGGCUCACGGCUUUUGUGGCUGGUGGCUGGUGGCUGCUGGUUGGGAGGCCCCGGAAGGACUUCUACUCCUCCGUAGGCUGGAGGGCACUAGGAGGUCGCAGGUGCUGAGCUGCCGGGGCCUUUGGGCUGUGCUGAAGGGGAAAAGCGCAGCCACUGUCGGGAGUGUGUGCUGUGGAGGCAGUUGCCGCGGUGAUGUUCGCUCCGCCUGGCCCCUGCCGGGGAUUCAGCCAACCAACCCUCAACAGCCGGCGGCGGCUCAGUCUCUGGCCCGGCGCGGUGCUGAGCACCACUGAGCCCUCAUCUUAGGGCACCGAGGCCCGGACUCCUGCAGCCGCAUGUCCAGGCCCCUCCUGCCUUAGCACGGAGCUCCCUUGACUGCUCCAAACAGCCCAGACUGGCGCCUUUUUUGGAUAAAUUAAAACGGGGCCAAUCCGUUGCCAGCGAUUGGCUAACGAUGGGUACACGACCUAGUACGGGCCAGGGAGAAGUAAGCGAGGUCUGUUGAGGCAGAGUUUCGGGAAAGAUCUUCUAGUUAAAAGGGGAGUUGGGUGGGUGGGGGCUGUUUUCUUCCUGUUGUCCUUGCCCAGUGUAAGUUUCCUGGAGCUGCAGCAGCCUUUUUGUCACCAUGAGGGCAGCUGGUGGGAACCCUAGGAAAGCAGGAAAUCACCUAGAGCCGGAACAGCCUGAGCCUCUGAACCAACCCACAGCUGACUACCCGUCACUUUGUCGUGUCUCUGUGAUUUGAGUCCAUCAUUCUGCUGCAGUUGAAGUUCUACAGACUGUACACGAAGCAACGGUGUCAGCAUCUGCUUCCAGUGGGGCCUCAGGAAGCUUUCAAUCAUGGCAGAAGGCCAAGGGGCAGCGGGGUCUCACGUGGCAAGAGAGGGAGGAGGAGGUGCCAGCCUCUUUAAACAAUCAGCUCUUGCAUGAACUCUUAGAGCCAGAACUCACUCACUACCUGGAAGACGGCAUGGAGACAAUAAUGAGGGAUCCACCCCCAUGACCCAAACUCCUCCCACUAGGCCCACCUCCAG
rnacentral:lncRNA from 1 species